rnacentral:ncRNA from 1 species
GCCCGUCGCUACUACCGAUUGGAUGAUUGGAUGGUGUUUUGACUGGCGCCAGUAGUCGGAUAUGUAUUCGGCUUCUCGCCGGGACAUUUCCCAAACCAAAUCAUUUAGAGGAAGUAAAAGUCGUAACA